UACGGGGGGGGCAAGCGUUGUUCGGAAUUACUGGGCGUAAAGGGCUCGUAGGUGGCCAACUAAGUCAGACGUGAAAUCCCUCGGCUUAACCGGGGAACUGCGUCUGAUACUGGAUGGCUUGAGUUUGGGAGAGGGACGCGGAAUUCCAGGUGUAGCGGUGAAAUUCGUAGAUAUCGGGAGGAACACCGGUGGCGAAGGCGGCGACCUGGGUAGAUACUGACGCUGAGGCGCGAAAGCGUGGGGAGCAAACAGG
rnacentral:rRNA from 1 species